UCAUUCUACUAUUAAAAUUUCUAUUAAACAUACAAAUUUUUAAUAUGCACACACACACACACACACAUAUAUAUAUAUAUAAAUAAAUAUUUCGUUAUGAUAAUAUAAAUAAAUAUUUCGUUACCGUGUUUUGCACGCUUUUACCCUAAUACUAAGAAAUAUUUUCAUUAACGUCCAGAAUUUCCUUUCAUAUCUUCGAGAAAUCCAAAGGGAAUGGAAUAAUACCAAACUAACUGGAAGGAUAUCACGGUAGGACUUGGUAGGAAUUUCGAGGCAAGUGACAGGUAGUCUCGCGAUGAGUACGUGCCAUACAAGAAGGUAGAAUGAAGGAAAAGCACGUAUGUGGAACGACCAUUUGUCGUCUUUCUCGAUGCUUUUUAUUUAACGAUCGAUAUGACUCCGUCGACUAGAGUAAGUUAUAUACGGUAGAACAAACAAAUCAUCCUACCGAGUUUUCUUACGCACGUAUUAUAUUUCCUAAUCUCUUUCACUGUACCAACCUAUUACUUCCUUUAGAUAUUCGAUUUGUCUUCCAAGCCACGAACGUACACUUUGAUUAAGAAAAAUUAUUCGAUAGGCACAACAACGAGAUCCUUGGAUAAAAGCCAAAAUAAUACAACUGAGAAAGACGAGAUUUUUCCAAAUGUCGUUUCUUCCUACUACGUGCCUCUUCGACGAGACAAGAGACAUUGAUAAUAAUAUAUAUAUAUAUAUAUAUAUAUAUAGAAAAAAAUAAAAUAAAAAAAGGAAAGAAAGAAACUAGAUGAAGACCAAAGGAAAUCGGACCGAAUCGAGAAGAUACUUUCGUAAGAGCGUUCUAGAUCGCCGUUCAAGUAGGAAAAAUGGUUACUCUCUCUCUCUCUCUCUCUCUCUCUCUCUCUCUCUCUCUCUCUCUCUCUCUCUCUCUCUCUCUCUCUCUCUCUCUCUUUUUCUUUCUCUGCGUAAAUAACAAACAAUUUAGAAUAAUCGAACUGAACGAAAAAGACACAGAGGAUAAAGACCGGUGAUUUUCUCGACGAAACAACGAGUUCCUUUUUUUUUUUUUUUUUUUUUAAGCCGAUUGCACGAUGCAUCGACGAACGUUUUGGAUUUGUAUUGGAUAAUGACCGAUUCAGAAAGCUGAGAACUGUAAAGAUUUAACGUGCUAUAAAAUUUCAUUGGAAAAGCUCGGUAUUAUAUCGGAUUCAUGUUCAAGACAAAUAAAUAGAUAAAAGAAUAGUGAUACAUUCAAAGAUGUUGCAAAUCGAAAAACGAUCCGAUUAUUACUUUGUACUACGUUAAUUCGAAAACGGUAGAUACCGGAUUAUUAUUAUCUACGUUAUCGAACUAAAGUAAAGGAAAUUGGAGAGAAAAAUAAAACUAAGAUAGAAAAAGAAAAAGUGAAAGAAAGAAAGAAAGAAAGAAAGACAGAUACAAAAAGAGAGAGAGAGAGAAAGUAGAACGAUCGAACGUGUCUAAAGAGCUAGUAGUAAAGUUGGAUAUAAAAAAGCACGAUUCACUAUGCGCCGUCACGAUAUCAGAAGCGUUUACUUAUCAACGAUCAAGCUGAGUAUAAUGACUCGAAACAUCGAUGGUUAGCAUUUUGGUGUCUCGCUUGUAUCCCGGGGGCUCCUAAACGCCGAAAUAUUCGCGAACGUUGCAUGAAUUGCAACAAGAAUAUACCGAUAAAAUUGCUGGCAGCCACAUCUCUGACUGUGAUUGUAUAUAAGAGUACGACAACAUCGAGACAAAAGAUCGAUUAACAACAGCGUUGAUGGGAAAAAUUUCAAAUUAAUAUUAAACUCUCGAUGAUGGACUUCCACCGAUGCCGCUGUCUGCAUACUGACAAACUGAAUAAAAAGGACGAGAAUGAGCGUCUCACUGAAGGGCGUCAAUCAAGAUGCCAAUCGCAACAUCCGACGACGUCCAUCGGAAUAACGAGGAAAACAAGGACGAACCGACGAGAACGGUAGAAUAUAGAGACUUAAACGAAUGCGUGCAUUAGUCGUACCGAACGCAGACUUGCACUUUGCUCGAACGAAGUUUCGACAGAAAGAAGAGAAGAGGAUGAAUCGAUCGAUCGAUUGAUCGUCGUAUACAUCGAUUAGAGAGGAAAGUGCCUCGAGGGAAGAGACCAGUUUCGACACCAUUGCCUUCGCCCCAGUGAUUGUUAAUUACGGGAUAAAUCGAUCCACGCCCCAAUUAAAUGAUCGUAUCGUUCCCGUUCGCACGUGCCUUUCUUGCAUCGAUGAGAGAGGGAGA